rnacentral:misc_RNA from 1 species
GAUGAAGAACGUAGCGAAAUGCGAUAAGUAGUGUGAAUUGCAGAAUUCAGUGAAUCAUCGAAUCUUUGAACGCACAUUGCGCCCUCUGGUAUUCCGGAGGGCAUGCCUGUCUGAGCGUCAUUGUCAACCCUCAAGCUCAGCUUGCUGUUGGGUCCCCGUCGUUGCUUUAACGGCGGACCCGAAAGGUAAUGGCAGAGUCCGUGAGACCCUAGACGCAGCGAGCUUCUAGCACGCGUCUGGACGUUUUUCGGGCUCGGUCUUAACUAGAUGAUAACUUCCGAUUGACCUCAGAUCAGGUAGGGAUACCCGCUGAACUUAAGCAUAUCAAUAAGCGGAGG